rnacentral:piRNA from 1 species
UAAUUUGGACUUGCUGAGGAUUG